GGCAGUGUAGCACAGUGGUUAAGGAGCAGGGCUCCUAACCAUAUAGUUGCUGGUUCAAUUCCUCUCUAGGACA